rnacentral:rRNA from 1 species
UACGUAGGGACCAAGCGUUGUUCGGAUUUACUGGGCGUAAAGGGCGCGUAGGCGGCCAACUAAGUCGGACGUGAAAUCCCCAGGCUCAACCUGGGAACUGCGUCCGAUACUGGAUGGCUUGAAUUCGGGAGAGGGAUGCAGAAUUCCAGGUGUAGCGGUGAAAUGCGUAGAUAUCUGGAGGAACACCGGUGGCGAAGGCGGCGUCCUGGACCGGUAUUGACGCUGAGGCGCGAAAGCCAGGGGAGCAAACGGG